AGAGUUUGAUCCUGGCUCAGGACGAACGCUGGCGGCGUGCCUAAUACAUGCAAGUCGAGCGAUGAUUAAAGAUAGCUUGCUAUUUUUAUGAAGAGCGGCGAACGGGUGAGUAACGCGUGGGAAAUCUGCCGAGUAGCGGGGGACAACGUUUGGAAACGAACGCUAAUACCGCAUAACAAUGAGAAUCGCAUGAUUCUUAUUUAAAAGAAGCAAUUGCUUCACUACUUGAUGAUCCCGCGUUGUAUUAGCUAGUUGGUAGUGUAAAGGACUACCAAGGCGAUGAUACAUAGCCGACCUGAGAGGGUGAUCGGCCACACUGGGACUGAGACACGGCCCAGACUCCUACGGGAGGCAGCAGUAGGGAAUCUUCGGCAAUGGGGGCAACCCUGACCGAGCAACGCCGCGUGAGUGAAGAAGGUUUUCGGAUCGUAAAACUCUGUUGUUAGAGAAGAACGUUAAGUAGAGUGGAAAAUUACUUAAGUGACGGUAUCUAACCAGAAAGGGACGGCUAACUACGUGCCAGCAGCCGCGGUAAUACGUAGGUCCCAAGCGUUGUCCGGAUUUAUUGGGCGUAAAGCGAGCGCAGGUGGUUUCUUAAGUCUGAUGUAAAAGGCAGUGGCUCAACCAUUGUGUGCAUUGGAAACUGGGAGACUUGAGUGCAGGAGAGGAGAGUGGAAUUCCAUGUGUAGCGGUGAAAUGCGUAGAUAUAUGGAGGAACACCGGAGGCGAAAGCGGCUCUCUGGCC
rnacentral:rRNA from 1 species